rnacentral:lncRNA from 1 species
AAAAAAAAAUAAGAGACCCAUUUAGGGUCUCUAGAAUAAUGGUGCUCUAAUAUCCCCCCCCACACACACACACACAAACUUGGUGUCGGGUGAAGCUAAGAAACCAAGUUUGAACCGCAAAUGAGGAUGGCAGGAGUAUGAGCAGUCAAAGAACCAUAUGCAGUAGGCUGAGAUUGCUCUAAAGCUUGGACUAGACAUUAGUGUGAGAACAUCUUCAGGUUCUUUUGACCUAUUUGUCUCACAAUGAGUUGGGGUUUUCUUUUCCGCCUAACUCAACUAAGCUAUCUCUUGGCUUAGAGAACUUGCUUCCCACAAAUUAUAAACCUUCACUCACUCUCUCCCAUCAAAAACCAGACCACGGCACUUUGACAAUUUGUUCUCUUUGGCAUUUUAGCAAACAUCUUGUGUGCAUUCAGCUAGACCAGAAUCUAUAAGCCACAAACCCAGCAUAAUCAAACCAAAGUAUAUCCUAAUUCAUUUUGCUUCAUGAUUCUAUACCCCUCUAAAGCCCCUUUUUUUUUUCAAGCAAUGCCAACAACUCAACAAGCUACUUCGGUUUCUGUCUUAGAAGAGAAACCAGAUGCGUUACCUUCCACAAUCUCUGAUUUUAUUUGAAUGGACGUUGCUCUCACCACCGCAUAGCUGAUUUGCAGACAUGGGUUUUCACUGAGAGACAACUUCUGGAACAUCUUCUACACGAACCUUCUUCACCUCUUCAUAUGUUGUUGCUGGUGUCGGAUUCUCUUCAUGCUCAGUCGUUGACGUCUUCAACUUUUUUUGUGAACGAAGCUUGUAGUGGACGAGCGCGGUCUUGUUUGAGUUGAAAGCUCGUGAAAGUAAGAACCCAUAGAUCCAAAGUAAGCUCUGAUACCAUGAUAACAUUUAUAAACUAAGAAAGAUUCUAACUUUAUUGAAAUGAAAGAUAGCUCAUUGAGCUUUAUCCUAAAACUAGAGAAAGGGAAAAACUUUAGUUUUGUCACCGAGAACCCAAAAAGUUAAAUAGAUAUUUCAUUAAGCGAAGAAGAUGCUACUACAAUGGCAGCCAAGGUUACAUUCAUCAAAGCACAUAACAACAUAUAUAUGAAUCUAGAAACCCUAGUUACAUGGAUUACAAAAGCCUCUAAUGGAUCAUAAACUUGAGCUUUAGUUUGGGUUUCAAUAUUCCCCCACAAACUUGACAUCGGGUGCAAGCAAGAAGCCAAGUUUGAAGAUGCAAAUGAGUGAAGCUUUGGCAGGAUCAAGAGCAAGUAGUUUGAGAUCAUUAGCAAGUAGGUUGAUGACUCUAUCUAGCUUGGAGAAUAGACAUAAGUGUGAGAACAUUUUCGGGUUCUUUUGACCUAUUUGUCUCACAACAAGUUGGGGAUUUUUUUUUUCUUAAUCCUCCUAACUGGACUAAGCUAUCUCACGGCCGAAGAGAAUAUCCAUCCUACAACAGCCUAAACCCAACUUUCUUUCCUAUUCAUCUCCCACCAAAACUCCUCAUUUUCAUAAUCUGUUUUUCUCUUGGACAUUUAACCAAACAUCUUAUGUGCACUCAUCAAAAACAAAA